GGCCUGUUAGGGAUACCCAUUUAAAUGGGAGUUAAUUAAGGAUUUAUAAGGUUUAAUUAACUUUUAACCUAGGUUUAAAUUUUGAUUCCCUAAAUUCCCUUCCCCGAUUUCUUCUCCCCCUCGCACGAGCUUCCUUCUGCCGAGCCCCCCUCCCGCGACUUCUCCUCGCCCGAUCGCCGGCCACCACGAGUUCAUCGCCGGCAGUGACCUCCCCUCUGCGUGCCUCAGCAACGCCAAGCCCCUUUUGGGUACCAGGCGGCGCGAUCCUCCCUGCCCUUUUCCUCGCGAUUCUUCCCCUAACCCGUGCCGCCGACGCCAUGCUGCUCCGAUUAGUCGAUCGCCGGACGCCCAUGAGGAGCUGAUGUUGGCCACUGCUUCCCGAGCCCUAGCUUCAGGUCCGCAACCCUCUUCUUGAUCCAAGGCGCCGCCGCAGCACGGCUUGAUCUUGGCCAAGGGCAAGAAUCGGAGCCCUAGCUCCGGAUCCUCGUCGCAGUACCUGUGCACCGAAGCACUUCUAGGCAUCCUCCAUUUCCUUUCCAUCAUUGGGGCAGACUGGAUGUAGCCAUGCCCUAGCUCCGGCCAACAUUUCCGGCAGCACUCUUCUCCAACAACGAAUCAUUGGUUGGGGCAUCUGGAUUGAGCUUCCGGACAAAGGCUGGUAGGACUGUGAGGUACUGGAUUGGCUGCUCUAUCUCAAGGACUUGGAUUCGGGACGAGCGUCUCGACGUGGGAUUUCCGGACACGAUCUAUAAAUUAAGGCGGGUAUUUCUUCCUUUACCUCUAUGUGGAUUUUCUUGUACUUAGUGCAUGGUUGCUAUCCGAUGGAUUAGACUGCUUUACCUUAUAUCAUAUCUGGUUGUUUACUUCCUGCUAGAGACUUAUGCUUGAUCUUUGAGGUGUUCCAUUUAAUUCAUGUACAGUCUCAACUCUUGAUAUCUACUCUAUGGUGAUUAAACGUGUAGAGUAUGUCCUGUAGGG